GGCACGGUGGUCUAGCGGUCAGAACACUAGCCUUGUAAGCCUGGGGUCCCGGGUUCAAUUCCCGGUGGUGCUC
rnacentral:tRNA from 1 species